CCUACGGGGGGCUGCAGGGGGGAAUAUUGGACAAUGGGGGGAACCCUGAUCCAGCCAUGCCGCGUGUGUGAAGAAGGCCCUCGGGUUGUAAAGCACUUUCAGUGAGGAAGAACGCCUGGUGGUUAAUACCCAUCAGGAAAGACAUCACUCACAGAAGAAGCACCGGCUAACUCCGUGCCAGCAGCCGCGGUAAUACGGAGGGUGCGAGCGUUAAUCGGAAUUACUGGGCGUAAAGCGCGCGUAGGUGGCUUGAUAAGCCGGUUGUGAAAGCCCCGGGCUCAACCUGGGAACGGCAUCCGGAACUGUCAAGCUAGAGUGCAGGAGAGGAAGGUAGAAUUCCCGGUGUAGCGGUGAAAUGCGUAGAGAUCGGGAGGAAUACCAGUGGCGAAGGUGGCCUUCUGGACUGACACUGACACUGAGGUGCGAAAGCGUGGGUAGCAAACAGGAUUAGAUACCCUAGUAGUC
rnacentral:rRNA from 1 species